CGGCAACAGCUCAAAUUUGAAAUCUGGCCCCCUCGGGGCCCGAGUUGUAAUUUGUAGAGGAUGUUUCGGGUGUGGCUCCGGUCUAAGUUCCUUGGAACAGGACGUCAUAGAGGGUGAGAAUCCCGUAUGUGACUGGCAGCCUACGCCCAUGUGAAACUCCUUCGACGAGUCGAGUUGUUUGGGAAUGCAGCUCAAAAUGGGUGGUAAAUUUCAUCUAAAGCUAAAUAUUGGCCAGAGACCGAUAGCGCACAAGUAGAGUGAUCGAAAGAUGAAAAGCACUUUGGAAAGAGAGUUAAACAGUACGUGAAAUUGUUGAAAGGGAAGCGCUUGCAACCAGACUUGCGUGCGGCCGAUCAUCCGGUGUUCUCACCGGUGCACUCGGUCGUGCUCAGGCCAGCAUCGGUUUCGGCGGCUGGAUAAAGGCCAUGGGAAUGUAGCUUCUCUCGGGGAGUGUUAUAGCCCGUGGUGCAAUGCAGCCCGCUGGGACCGAGGACCGCGCUUCGGCUAGGAUGCUGGCGUAAUGGUUGUAAGCGACCCGUCUUGAAACACGGACCAAGGAGUCUAACAUCUAUGCGAGUGUUUGGGUGUCAAACCCAUACGCGGAAUGAAAGUGAACGGAGGUGAGAACCCUUAAGGGUGCAUCAUCGACCGAUCCUGAUGUCUUCGGAUGGAUUUGAGUAAGAGCAUAGCUGUUGGGACCCGAAAGAUGGUGAACUAUGCCUGAAUAGGGUGAAGCCAGAGGAAACUCUGGUGGAGGCUCGCAGCGGUUCUGACGUGCAAAUCGAUC
rnacentral:rRNA from 1 species